UCCGAUCUCCUGAGUCGGACUCCGAGC
rnacentral:ncRNA from 3 species